rnacentral:rRNA from 1 species
GACGAACGCUGGCGGCGUGCCUAAUACAUGCAAGUAGAACGAGUGGCGAACGGGUGAGUAAUGUAUCGGAACGUGCCCAGUAGCGGGGGAUCACUACGCGAAAGCGUAGCUAAUACCGCAUACUAUUGGAGCGGCCGAUAUAGGAUGAGCUAGGUGGUGGGGUAACGGCUCACAAAGGCGACGAACCGUAGCUGGUUUGAGAGGACGAACAGCCACACGGGGACGGAGACACGGCCCAGACUCCUACGGGAGGCAGCAUUGGGGAAUUUUGGACAAUGGGCGAAACCCUGAUCCAUCAAUCCCGCGGGUGCGAUGAAGUCCUUCGGGUUGUAAAGCACUUUUGGCAGGAAAGCGGUACCUGCAGAAUAAGCACCGGCUAACUACGUGCCAGCAGCCGCGGUAAUUC